ACCCUCUAAACAACACGAACCUCCCAAAAAUUAGUAAACUAACGAUACUUAUGUCCUUGGGAUUAAGGGAGUAGCUAAAGAGGCAAGGAACAAAAAACAAUCGGUCUUUAAGUCGGAUACACCAUGCAGUACAAUUUUAUAUAUCUGUUAUGUUAAUUUGAUUAUCUC